UCCGGUUUAACACCGGCAGUCUCGUUAGAGUGCCCGGCCGAACCGCUGGCAACUAACGACAAGGGUUGCGCUCGUUGCGGGACUUAACCCAACAUCUCACGACACGAGCUGACGACAGCCAUGCAGCACCUGGACAUCCAAUUCCCUUGCGGGCACAUCCACAUCUCUGCGGACUUCUGGAGGGUUCCAACCCAGGUAAGGUGGGGAUGACGUUGUGGAAGCAAGCU
rnacentral:misc_RNA from 1 species